rnacentral:rRNA from 1 species
AGCAGCCGCCGCGGUAAUGCGUAGGUCCCGAGCGUUGUCCGGAUUUAUUGGGCGUAAAGCGAGCGCAGGCGGUUUGAUAAGUCUGAAGUUAAAGGCUGUGGCUCAGCCAUAGUUCGCUUUGGAAACUGUCAAACUUGAGUGCAGAAGGGGAGAGUGGAAUUCCAUGUGUAGCGGUGAAAUGCGUAGAUAUAUGGUGGAACACCGGUGGCGAAAGCGGCUCUCUGGUCUGUAACUGACGCUGAGGCUCGAAAGCGUGGGGAGCGAACAGGAUUAGAUACCCGAGUAGUCCCUGUCUCUUAUACA